GUCGCCUUGUGCAGGGGCGGGGUCGGCGCAUGUGCAAUGCUGGGGUUGAAGUCGCGCAGGGCGCGCUUUUCCCAGCGUUCUGUUCCCGGCCGCCAGCUGACGCGAACUGUCGCUCCCUUGCCAGGUUCAGCCUCGAGGUUGUCAUUGGAGUUAGGGACCAACAAGAGGUCAUGGAAUGUAGGCUCUCAUCAGUUCUGUGCUUUAUUUCAAGGCUUUGUGCUUGAUAAUAAAAUAAUGUGCCCAAUGACUAUUAAGCCUUCAUAUGAUUUAUUAUUGUCAACUUACACUACUAAAUAAUUUUACUUUCUUUGGGAUCUUUAAUGUGGGAAUCAUGAGUAUUAGUUGUAAGUAUUGUUAAUUUUAGUAACUCCAUAUUUGUUGUUUCUCCAGUUUAAAAGGUGGUGUGUUUCCUUUGUGGAAUUCCUGAAAGUUGCAGUUUCUUGUCUCUGACCUUCAGAUGUGCGGUUGUCUGUGUUACUACUACCCACGGUGGUUGUUUUUGUUGAGCCUUGAUCAGACUCUUGUCUUGGCGUCCUUCCUUUCUCUCUGCCCCAUCUCCACCCCGCUGCUCUUUCAGGUUUGAGGCACUGCUGGACAGUGCUCUGCGUUGCCA
rnacentral:lncRNA from 1 species